AUGAAAAGACUAUGUCAUAAUGUACCUGUUGAAGGUGAACAGAUGAUCCAUCAGUGGCGGGUCAAACAUGAAGAAUACUGUAUUGAAGCUUUGCUGAAGGUGUUCUCCACAGAGAGAGGGGUCCGGGAAUACAACAUCGGAGCAGUCCUGAUAGAGGAGUUCAAUAAUGUUGUACAAACACAAGCAAUAGAAUUAAUGGCGGAGCUGACAUUACAGCAUUAGUCAAGUACAACUGCAACAAUUUAUAACAGGGUUCAGACUGGUUAAACAUUCUAACGUGGUUUCUGUCAUUAUUAACAUUUAUAAUUUAUAACUUUAAAACUUAAGAGACUAAAAACAUCAGUUAAACCCUUUAGAAAUCCAGUUGGCCAACCAAAACGCACAGGAAACCAUAUCAAUAUUUUCUAUAUAAGUGAUUCCAUAUGAGGCAAUACCGUUUAUAUCGAUAUACAGUAUUUGAUAUGAGCACAUCUGAAAAUAUAGCUGAGGACACAGACUGAGCUGCUGCGGAGAAAGUGCAUAAUCCAGUUUGUUCUAAACAUGUGACAAGCUUCAUAUUAAGGCAUUUAAAAACUGGUAAGACAGUUUAUGGUUUCGUUUGGCAUACAAGUUUAAGCGGGUCACUCAGUCAGAUGCACGGACAGAAGACAGAGACACUACUCGCGCUGUUUAAUGUGUUUGAGAUGUGCUGUCUUCCUGAAUGCAUAACUUAUAUUUCACAGGUAUAUCCUCCAUCUGGAAAUGUCAUAAAGCCAUGGAAACUUCAAUUUUUUCUGUGGGAGUGCAUGAGCCUUCUGCUUUGGGAUUCUCCACUUAACGUCUCCGCCGCGUGCAUGCACCAAACAGACUGAGCGCAUGUAGAAUAGCACAGGAGCGCAAUAAUUUUGACUAAAAUUUUAGUUGUACAAUAAAUGUGACAUGUAGAAUUUUAAACCUACAAGUCAGUCUAUUUUUACGAUAGCACUGACUGUAAAGUGACUGUAAUGGGGUAAUCAAAAUAGGCUAACAUAUCUCUGCGCUUUUGUUCUCAUUUAUUUUCAUUUUUAGUUUAGUGAACUUAACUUCUGCUUUAAAAACCUUAUUUUUGUUUUUAGAUUGCAGUGUUACAAUGUUAAAAUGAAAUGUGAUUUUAACUUUUUUGCACAUAACAAAGGUUAACAUGUUACAUUCACUUUGUUUUCAUAGCCUUUAAUGUGUAUUUUGUUAGACAACACAGGUCAAUAAGUCAAAUAUUUUAAAUACUUUUUUUAAAAUCCAAAAUAAAAACAAAAAUACCGAUACAUACCGAAUAUCGCAAAUCGGCCAAAAAAACAGAAGAAUUUUUGCCCAUAUCACCCAGCCCUAAUGUACGCUUGCUAGCUAACAAAUAGGUGACCAUCAUCAUGAUGAUCAACCUACACAACUCAUUUGGAAGUUAUUAUAAAACAGAUCGCAGGCACGACAAUUAGUUUCAAAUUGUACAUAAAUUUACCUUAACCAAAUGUUCACUUGCAAACACUUAAUGUGAACAGAUAAUGUAAGGGGGAAAGUUGAUAAAACGACUGUCCUACAUCAAUCAGACAUAUUGCAGAUGUAAGAACAUCGGAUUAAGAUCGUUAAAAGAGCAGAUUGUGGGCAUUCUAAAUUAUUCACAUUUUAUAAUCAUAGGCUAGGCGUCUCCUAACAGCUGCAGAAAUGAAAACGUUGCAGAUUUUUUUGUGCAAUGACCUAUACAGAGCCCUGAAAUUCAUAAUGGACCGAUUUAAUCUUGCAUAUUUUAGCUGAUGUGCUCAGAUUAUUUCUGUUAAUUAAACAAUAGAUAAAAACAAUAUCUAUUUAUCAUACUGAUUAGGCGUCCAUACAUAUCGCCACACCACUUAUACUAUACUGGGUUGUGGUUGUGUUUUGAAUAAGUUAAUCAAUUAAAAUAAUGUUAUAGUAACAAUACAAACCAAAAACCAACAUUCUUUAUACAUUAAGAAAACUUUCCUGGCUAACCAAAAACAAACCAUAAAGUAUGUUCUGGGAACUAAAAUUUGUUAGCUGUUCAACAGGCAUAUUUGUUUCAUAAUCUUUUAAUGUUUUAUGACUCUCACACUCAACACAAAAAUCUAGGAGUCCUGUUUCCAAGCGCAGCACUUACCUCCACUGACAGCCAUCUUGCUGGAUCCUGUUAAGAAACCAGAACGACUGCAGAAGGAGCUUUUAUACCUGUGCUGCGGUGCAUCAUGGGAAAUGGGAGAUCCCAAGUGUGGGAGGGAGGAUUUUUAUUAUUAUUAUUAUUAAACAGCUCUACAAUGCAGAAAUAUUUAUAAAUGGCUGAGUUAUUUGGUUAAUUUAAUUUCUGGUUACUGCCUGGUUAAUGUCAUAACACUGAAGAGUGUGUUUCAGAAAUCACAGAAACAGUAAUGGCUGUGUGAUAGUCUGUUAAAAAUAUAGACUCCCCACA
rnacentral:lncRNA from 12 species